AAUGCACCUUGUGCCCCUUGGCAUUCUGAGGGGCACACCCGUUUGAGUGUCAUGAAAUCUUUAAAAUCCUUUUUUCUUGGGGUUUUGGACUUGAAGGUUUAAUGCUUGCCCUUUCUUUCGAAAGUGAGCUCCUCUCAAAUGAAUUAGUGGGGUCCACUUUGCUGAUCCUUGACAUGAUAAAAUGUUUCUACAUUUUGGGUUUAGCUCUGUCCCUUGAAUGCCUGCUCCUAACUGUCUCAUUGACAAUGAUGGUGCUCUGGUCACCACUGUCUACAUCAGCAGGAGGCUGGACCCACAAAAAGAAAACCUUGACCUCAAAUUGGGUAAAACUACCCACUAAACUUAA
rnacentral:misc_RNA from 1 species